UACGUAGGGUGCAAGCGUUAAUCGGAAUUACUGGGCGUAAAGCGUGCGCAGGCGGUCCGGAAAGAAAGAUGUGAAAUCCCAGGGCUCAACCUUGGAACUGCAUUUUUAACUACCGGACUAGAGUAUGUCAGAGGGAGGUGGAAUUCCACGUGUAGCAGUGAAAUGCGUAGAUAUGUGGAGGAACACCGAUGGCGAAGGCAGCCUCCUGGGAUAAUACUGACGCUCAUGCACGAAAGCGUGGGGAGCAAACAGG
rnacentral:rRNA from 1 species